rnacentral:tRNA from 1 species
GGCCAGGUAGCUCAAUUGGUUAGAGCAUUGUCCUGAUACGCCAAGCGUGCGGGUUCGAUCUCUGGUCA